rnacentral:tRNA from 1 species
GGGCGAUUAGCUCAGAUGGUUAGAGCACGUGCCUUACAAGCACGGGGUCAGUGGUUCAAAUCCACUAUCGCCCA